rnacentral:lncRNA from 1 species
GUGAGUCUACACCCCUCUGGGCUACCACCCCUCACCUCAUGCUGUCUCCUGAAAAGGACUCUUCCCCUGGACUGAAACAGGCUUGGCACAUCACCUACAGGUAUCUGGGCAACCAGAUGAAUAAAUGAGGCUCCAGAGAUGAAGUAACAUACUCAAGGCAAGACUUUGUAAAGAAGCCCCUAAAAUGAUAGCAAACUCUGCAGGGGCUCAGGCCUUGAAGACACCAGGUGCAGGGAGAUGAGUACUUUGAAGAAGAAAGAAGCCAAGCCCAAGUACAGUUAGCCAUAGAACUGAGCUCCAUGCCUAUGCACUCUGCCUCUAGACUGAUGUAGGGCAAGUGAGCCCCCAAAUUGGGACUUAGACCGGAAGAGUUCUUGGCUUCACCCAGGAAAUAAUUCAAGGGUGAGUCGAUGGUUUAGACAGCAGCUUUUAUUGAAGUGGCAGUGUAUGGCAGCAACAGUAGUUUCCAUGCCUUCUCCAUGAGAAGAACAUCCCUGGGCUAGCUCACUGGUCCCACGAGGAAGGUGUGAGACGUUUGGAGCAGAGUUAAAGUCCGCCAGCCAACACUACCCUAAAUCAGCCAUCUCCUACUCUGCUCACAGAUGUGUAGGUAAGCCCAGUCAACUCUAGCAAUGCCAGUCAAACAAGUUCAGCAUAAAUUAGUGUCCCUCAGGCAACCACAGAUCUGUGAGUAUAAGUAACCAUGUCUUAAGCCACUGAGUUUGGGGUUGGUUUGUUAUAUAGCAUUAUUGUAGCCAUGGUUAACUUAUGCGAGUAACAAUCCAGGAACUGGUCCCCAAUUAAUGGAGAAAAUACAACAAAGGGAAUUAUCAAAGAAAUAAUUCAAGGCAGUUUCCUAGCACUAAAAAAUAUGAACCUUCAGAUUAAAGGGCCUACCAAGUGGUCAAAACAAGGUAAAUCCUCUUCAAAACAGAUUAUUGUAAAUUUUCAGAACAUAUAGACACAGAUAUGAUUCUAAAAGCUUCUAGAAGGGAAAGUAACAGGUUUCAUACAAAGGACUAUGAAUCAGAUGGUUGUAGGACUUGUUGAGUGCAACGCUGGAUACUGGGCAACAGUGAAACCCUGCCUUCUAAAUUCUUGGGGCAAACUAUUCUCAAUAUAGAACUCUAUAGCUAAACACAUGAUUAAAACAUAAGUUGAGACUUUAAAUAUGUUCUAGAUGUGUAAGGAUUCAGAGAAUUUACUUUGCAGAGUACCAGAGGAUAUGUUUCAGCAAAAAUUAGAAGUAAACCAAGAAUAUAGAAUCCAGGGGAUUCAACACGGGAGAGUAGCAGAGGAAAUUCCCAGGACGUGAGCUUCGCAGCAGGCAUAAAGAGUAACAGGCCAGGUUGAAAGAAGAAAUCCAGAGCCCCAGGAGGGAAGACUCCAGGGAAAGAGGAGAGACUGAUAGAUGCUAUGAUGUAAGACAAAACUUAUGAAAAUAAUCUUAAUAAUAAUGGUAUGGCAGAUAUAAUGCAACAUUUGGAAACAUUUAAGAAAACGAUGCAACUGAAAAUAUGGAGCAAUUAUUACCUCUGGGUAUAUUUAUCAGGAUAGUUGAUGCUAGAUGUCGCAAUAGAUAUAAAUGUUUAUUUCCCUUUGUAUCACAAUCUAAUAAGGAGGCAGUCCUUCAUUUUGUGUUUGUACAGCAUGGAGCCCACAACAUGUACAAGCUCCUUGCUAGGGAAGAGAAAGAUGGAAGAGCCACACGGGCUCUUAGCUGCCUCAACUCAAAAAGAUCAUUCUAGUCACAUGGCCCUAACCUAACUAGAAGGGAAG